UACGUAGGGGGCAAGCGUUGUCCGGAUUUAUUGGGCGUAAAGAGCGUGUAGGCGGCUAGGUAGGUCCGUUUGUGAAAACUCGAGGCUCAACCUCGAGACGUCGAUGGAAACCAUCUAGCUAGAGUCCGGAAGAGGAGAGUGGAAUUCCUGGUGUAGCGGUGAAAUGCGCAGAUAUCAGGAAGAACACCCGUGGCGAAAGGCGGCUCUCUGGUACGUGACUGACGCUGAGACGCGAAAGCGUGGGGAGCGAACAGG
rnacentral:rRNA from 1 species